GCAAGUCUAGGGGGUGUAGCAAUACAUCACCGGCGGACGGGUGCGUAACACGUGGGAAUAUACCUUUUGGUUCGGAACAACGCAGGGAAACUUGCGCUAAUACCGAAUGUGCCCUUGCGGGGAAAGAUUUAUCGCCAAAGGAUUAGCCCGCGUCCGAUUAGCUAGUUGGUGAGGUAACGGCUCACCAAGGCUCCGAUCGGUAGCUGUUCUGAGAGGAAGAUCAGCCACACUGGGACUGAGACACGGCCCAGACUCCUACGGGAGGCAGCAGUUGGGAAUCUUGGACAAUGGGGGAAACCCUGAUCCAGCCAUGCCGCGUGAGUGAUGAAGGCCUUCGGGUUGUAAAACUCUUUCGACGGGGACGAUAAUGACGGUACCCGUAGAAGAAGCUCCGGCUAACUUCGUGCCAGCAGCCGCGGUAAUACGAAGGGGGCUAGCGUUGUUCGGAAUUACUGGGCGUAAAGCGCGCGCAGGCGGUUUUUCAAGUCAGUGGUGAAAGCCCGGAGCUCAACUCCGGAACUGCCAUUGAAACUGUGAAACUUGAGGAUGAGAGAGGUGAGUGGAAUUCCCAGUGUAGAGGUGAAAUUCGUAGAUUUUGGGAAGAACACCGGUGGCGAAGGCGGCUCACUGGCUCAUUUCUGACGCUCAGGCGCGACAGCGUGGGGAUCAAACAGGAUUAGAUACCCUGGUAGUCCACGCCGUAAACGAUGAAUGCUAGCCGUUGGGCAGCUUGCUGUUCAGUGGCGCAGCUAACGCAUUAAGCAU
rnacentral:rRNA from 1 species